UGCUGUGAUGAGUAUUUGCUUACUUCUGACACCUCUUGUAUGAGAAGGGACUAUUUCCCUUCCUUGAGCAGAUUAGCAACUCUCUGAGCU
rnacentral:snoRNA from 1 species